UACAGGAGGCCCGAGCGUUAGUCGGAAUCACUGGGCUUAAAGGGUGCGUAGGCGGGCCUGUAAGUAUCUCGUGAAAUACCUCGGCUCAACCGAGGAAUGGCGGGGUAAACUACAGGUCUUGAGGUAGGUAGGGGUUGCUGGAACGCUCGGUGGAGCGGUGAAAUGCGUAGAGAUCGAGCGGAACGCCGAAGGUGAAGACAAGCAACUGGGCCUAUCCUGACGCUGAGGCACGAAAGCGUGGGGAGCAAACAGG
rnacentral:rRNA from 1 species